UACGUAGGGGGCAAGCGUUGUCCGGAUUUAUUGGGCGUAAAGCGCUCGCAGGUGGUCCGUUGUGUCGGGCGUGAAAGACCCCGGCUCAACUGGGGAGUGUCGUGCGAUACGGGCGGACUGGAGGCCAGUAGGGGGAUGCGGAAUUCCGGGUGUAGUGGUGGAAUGCGUAGAGAUCCGGCGGAACACCGGUGGCGAAGGCGGUCUCCUGGGCCGAGGGCCGACGCUGAGGCGCGAGAGCGUGGGGAGCGAACAGG
rnacentral:rRNA from 1 species